GUCAUCAUCCAAUACAUGAAAUUAUUUAGCCUAACAUAAUGUUGGGAUUAAACAAAUAAAAGUGAAAAAACAUCACCGAAAUUUGAUGGAACGUGAUUAACUUGUAAAGGCCAAACGUGAUUAACUUGUAAAGGCCAAGCGUGUAUGUAAUUUUUUCCAAUUUCUAUGCCUUUUGCCGUGUGCAAUUUCACCCUUGCAAUCACCAACUUUGUAUCUAGAUUAAAUAAUUCAGCCACCCAAUGUGUAUAUCUAUUCCAUUCCAGCAGCUCAAAUUUUUUUCUGUCUUCUCCAAUAAAUACCAGGUAGCCGCAAUUCCUUUUCUAUUUCUCCACUUUCUUUUCCGCUCAAGCUGCUGUUAUUGUUGUGUAUAUAUAAUUUAAGGUAGCAACCAGUUUGUAUUUUUUUGUCAACUCCCCUCCAAUCUGCUGCCCAAUUAUAGGUGUGAAUCCCUCAACAAUUUCCUAAGCAGCUGCCUUUUAUACUCCAACCGUAGCCGACGUCUUCCACUCCAAUUUUUUUCCCAGCGUUUUUCCCCUUUCUGCCGACACCAAUCUGUAAAUACAAAUAAUAGAAUUCAACCCCAGCCGGCAGCCCCUGGAUGUGUGCGAAAAUUAUAAUAAUGGCUAUCCCUGUUUCUCUCGGUAGGCGCAUAUAUAUACUUCCAAUCAGCAGAGUAAUUUUCUUCACAAAAGUAUUCCAAUACCAUCCCUAAUUUCCA
rnacentral:lncRNA from 1 species